UCGAAACUUCCUCAAGUUGAAUAUCAGUAUUUUUCGUCCUUUCAUUCCCUGAAAACUGUAAAGAACCAACUGAAGUAUUUCAAACUUCUUAACUCAGUUUUGAAAUAUUAUAACAAGUUGUUUAAAUCAAAAUCUAACCAUAGCUAAACUGGAGAAAAACUAACAACAAAUCAUAACAUAACAAACCUUCUGAAAAAGUUAAGCACAAUACAAGAAUACACACAGAGAGACAUUAUAACACUAUAUUAAGUUAAAAACAACCUAAAUUCAGAUAGAGAUGCUGUUGGGAAUUCCUCUAAAAGUCAACCCCGUUUCACUAGUAGGAAGAAGCAAAGUGUAAGGCAAUUCAGCUGGUCCAGUUCGAUUUUUAAGAUUUGGAUCAUGAUUCCUUUCUGAGAUUUUUGUCUCAAUCUCUUUUAGCCUUUUUCCAAACUUUUUAAAGGCUUCUAUAGCCCUUGAAUCGGAGGUCCAAUUUGGAUUGUCCCUCUGUCCAAGGUACACCUCAUCAGAAGCAUGUCUUGAUAAUAUCUCUAUCACUGAAAGGUCAACAAGAGCCUGAUACUUUGGUGUAAUCGUUCUCAAAUAAGCCUUUUGAGGAUUCUUUGUCAUCUCUUCAUAUUCUGGAGUUCCCUUUUCUGGAAUCAAUCUUCUGCUUAGAGUUGGACGAUUCAGGAUAAAGCCACCAUAAGGAUAUUGUCCAAAAUUAACUGCUGCAUGAAAAGCUGAAGCAAUCCAUAUGAUGGUACUACAAGAUCGAAUCAGCUCUUCACGACUGUGUAAUUUAGGCCACCAUGGCUUAUCUUUUAAGUCACCGUGACCCUUUUCAACAACUUCUUUCCACCAAGCUUGAAGUUCAAUAUCCUUUUUAACCGCAUCAUCUGUAACAUAAUACAACAAGACAUAUUCACGGACCCAUGUCUCGAUAGCGUUCCAUAUCUCUAAUCCAUCAACAGCAUACGGGUAGUCCUUUAUCACAAGACUAAGACCAUUUCGAGAAGAUGAAUCCUUAAUAGCCAUGCCUCUGAAUCAGGCAAAGAAAAACUGUUAUUAACAGCAAAUGUAGAAAAAUUGUAUGCGUUUUCACUAAGAAAGUGAGUUUUUAACAUUUAAGAAAGUGAGUUUUUGGCAUGCCUUAAGACCAACGAGAUACUAGGGAAUCAACCCUUUUGGAUUUGAAUGUAAAAAAUAAGACACUAAUUAGUAAAACUAUUCACAUAAAACCCUUGUUCCAUGUUCACAUAGCUUACCUCUUUAUAAGAUCAGUAGGUAAGGCUUGCUCAGGAAACACCCAAUUUUUGUAAGCUGCCGAAGAUAUCUCCACUGCAUACUUUCCACCCAAAAAGGAUUGCUCUAUAACGCCAUCGGCAUUGAUUAGUGAUUCCCGAGCAAGUGCAUUGAUAUUCAUUGUGUCACGAUAAUGAGGAAAUAGAAGUUUAUAAAUAGGAUGAAGAACACUGAGAUUUCUGUUUGUUGAUAUGACAAAGGGUUCGAUUACAGCAUGAGUAUUCAACCUGUGACCACGUUUAUAUAUAUGUAUAAGAAAAAGGGUUAGGAAUAAUUUUGUAUACAUAUAUUAAAACUGUGUGCAAUGAUUUUAGUGAGAGAGUUCAGACCAGUGGCUUAUGAGCUGAUGAUAGCAGGAAUCAUUCACAAUAACAUGAGCCUUGGCUAACAGCCAAAUUGUACUUUCAACUCCAAGUUUUGCGGGCAAUAUCACUUUACUGAUGGAACCACGUCGUUGUUCAACUGAAUUUGGCAAACUUAAUUCGAUGACCAAUGGCUUUAAGGUCCCAUCAUCUUUCAAGAAAAGGAUUGUCCUCGUGGCAUAAGCCUUUGUAUUUUUUAAUUCGUUUAGCCUUGUCAAAAACGGCAUAAACACAUCAUGGUGAUCUAAUAUGAACAGUCUCUUGCCUUCAAUUGCCUUAUCUACUGUGAACCCUUCAAGGUUAAUCUCCAAGUGUUGCUUAGUUAUUUUACUGGAUUGAUCACCAUAGAUGGAGGGAUCCAACUUGCUUUGAGGUGGAAACUCCUGUCAGUCAUUAAAGAAUAUUAUGAAGAAAGAUGACAGACAACUUCAACUCUCAAAGUAAAGAAUAGAACACUUGGACUUACUUUUAGACGGGUAAUCAAGCAAGGAUUUACACCUGCAAUCAUCUCUCUUGCAAAUUCUUCAUCGGUCAUCCAUGCAGAUUUACUAACUGCUCCAAAUAAAAAUGAAAAUAAUUUUCAAAGUUCAAUCAUGGUUUUGUUAAGAUUCACUGUAUAUGUUUGUGCAAAUAUAAAAGUCUACACAUAUGAAAACACCUCUGAUUACAUGAGGCACUGAAAACUGGAGGACGUUUUCACCAUCUGUGCGAAAGAUUUCUUUGAGCACAGGUAAAGGGCUAAUUUUGCAGAGUAGAUCUGUAUGCAGUUUAAUUCCACCUUCACAUAGUUGACGUACAUCUUCGAAGCUAUCAAACUCAUUUGGUGUGAAAUUCAGAUCAAAUGAAGAUCUGAGCAGUGGCAAGAAGUUUCGAGAUACAGCUUUUACCCCAUAAGUAAGGAAAUCAGAUGACUUCAAAUGACCGAAAUUUUCAUCUCUCGGAACGUAAAAAUUAUCGCUCAGUUUCUCACUGUUGGGAUCUGACAAGAGUGGAAUAAAGCUACAAAUUUAUGUCAAGAAGAACUACAGAAGAAAACAAAAUUAGGUUAUGUUCCUGAGAUAGAAAUGUAACCUUUUUUGGUAGGUUUUCUACCAGUUCUUCCUCUUCGAGGGUAGGGAUAAGUGACAGAUCCUCCAAGAACUGGGCGAGCAAGGUUUUCACUGCUGUCGGGUUUGCCCAAAUCAUUGUAAACAUCGUAAUCAUAAAUUCUGUCACAUUCCUUACGUUUUCCUGUUCCAUUUCCUCUUAGAGUCUGCAAUUCUGCCUCUCUGUAACUCACUAGUGGUCCUGGUGUUUCACUUGGAAUAUAUGUCUGCAACGUACAUUUCUUUAACGUUCAUAUCAAAACAAAAAUCUUGCAAACGAACUAGGUUAUACUUUUUCUUUUUUUUCAUGAUAAUCAAUAACCAACAUGCAUAUAUACUUGCUGAAAGUAACAGUUUACCUCGUUGGCAAAGAAAAUACGAUCCUUUUCGUAAUUUUUAUAGUUGUAAAGCCAAGAGUUACAAGAAAAGUGCAUGGUUCCAUGAUUAGGAAUAUCUUCAAGAGUUAAACUGACUAGGAAGAACUCAAGUUGCAUAUGAUUUUGUAUUAAAAAGGCUCCAGGAAUUCCCAUGUCACUGUCCCAUUCAAAAUGAAUAUCAAAUGCACAUUGGCCAGCUCCCAAAGUUGGUAUCGAGGUAAUAAUUCCUUCCAGAUAUGUCUUCUUUCCCACUUUUCCAUGUCCAUUUCCUACAGAAGUUAACAAAACUAUUUAAGAAUGUCUUUUGGUCAUUCACCAAAAUAUUAAUAUAACAUUUUUCACAUAUAUUUUAAAAAUAUAAAAUACUUAGAGAUCACUACAAUUUCUAAAAAUACUUAGAAUGUAGCUUUUACAAAGUUAACUUCGUCAUUAUAGAAAAGAUAUAAUAUACUGAAACAGAAACUAAAGGUGGCAAAGUGUACUGAAGCAGUAGUGAGAAAAGAAGAUAGCUACCAUCGGCAGCGGUGGCGCUGAUCAACCAGAGAGCCACAGAUCGUCCCACACAGCAAGUGAGAGUGUCGACUGAGUUUCCCACCAGAUCACUGACGACACCGGCGGCGCCGCGGAGGAUACCGGCGGCGCUUUUAGCUGACUUAAUGGCGUUGAUAUCCAGCACAUUCUUAUGCAUCAACACCACAGUUCCCUUCAACUUCUUGCUUCUGUUCAACAGUCCUUGAAUCCCUGAAAACAUUUUUAUGCUAUUUCUUGCUUUUGGAAAGUUGAUUGAAGAAGGCCUAAGCUUGUGCCUUUGAAUUUAUAGAAAAACUAAUGUAAGAUAAAAUAAUGGAGGUGGGUUCACAUUCUUCAUUCUUCACAACUACCAUAACAUAGUAUUAAUUACUAUCACUUUUACUUUCCCUUUAUAUAUAUUCCUUUUAUAAUCUCAUUUUCCAUGCUAUUUCCUUGUUAAUAUUAUUUAUUUCGUAUAAAAGUCAAAUCACUUUCAUUUCUCAUGUCAAUUUAACCACUGAUAAUUCUUUUCUAAAAUGUGUAUGGAUAAUCACGUUAAACAUUAUUAUUCACUAUUUACCAUAUGUAUUUUAUAAUGGUAUCUUGGUAUUUUGACUUGGAUUCCAUAAUAAAACCAUAACGAUGGCAACCAGAAAGAUUGAAAAUAGACAACAUAAAUGUAAAAGCGAUAUAAAAAUAUGUAUUAAACUUCAGUGUCUAUCAAAAUAUUUGCUUUAUUAAAUGUCUAACAUUUACAUCUUUUUAAUUAAAUAUCUAUCAUUUGAGUUUAUUGAAGUGACAUGUUAUAUCAAUAAUUUCAUAUUUUCAUAUAAAAAAAAGUAACUUAAAUAAAUUUUAAACAUUUUUUAAUUAAGUUUUUAUUAUAAAAAUAUUUUAUUAAAUAUUUAAAAUAUUUAUAUUUUUAAAUUAAGUCUCAUAUCUUGAGGAUGAUAUGCUUAUUUGAUCAUUUUACUGCCUCAAACAAAACAUCAUACAUUUAAAUGACAAAAAAAAUUGAAACCUACUAAAAAAUAUAUCGAUUUAUUUUAUAAAUUAAAUACUAAAACAAAAAUUAAAUCAAUCAUAUUAAGGAUGAUAAAGACAAGACAAAGGAAGAUUUUAUUAUCUCAUACUUAUUUUUUUUUAAAAAAAUAUAUACAUCCUUAUUCUUGUACUCAUAUUUAAUAGGUAUAAAUUUGUUUGUUUCAAUGUUAAUUAAUUGAUUUUUUUUUAAAAGAAAAUAAAAUUCAUGAUAAAGAAAAUAUCAUAUUAUUAAAUAUUAAAUAUUAAAAUGACAUUUUCUCAUUUAUUUAUUCAAUGUUAAAUACUUAAAAAGAAAUUAUAAUUAUAUAAAUUUCAAAUUAAAAUGCAAGAUAACAAUGAAAUAAAAAUGAAAAAAUUAUAUAAAAUAUUACAUAAUUCCACGUAAAUAAAAUUUUAUGACAACUAAAAUAUUUAUUAAUUUUUUGCAAACAUUAAUAGUAAGUUAAUAAUCGAAAUUAUCCAAAUAAUGUAAUGAGUUUAUAAAAGUAACUUUUUAUAAAGGAAAACUUAUAAUAUUUGUAACCAAAUAUUUAAAAAUAUUAAUAAAAAUUAAAAUCCCUUCUAUUGGCCAGAGCGGUAAUGUGAAGACAGUGGAGGCAUUAAUAAUUUGGUUUUUCGUACAUUAUUUUUCUCCAUUUCACAUUUGCUUUUACUUUUUCACUACUUCUACGUACCACACUUGCUGAUGGCAGCGAUAAGCAUUCAAGUUCAUUUAUUAGUUUCACAUUUGGAUAAUUCACACCAUCUUUUUAUAAUACACAAUUUCAAAUUUUCUAAAAGUAUAAUAUAUUGAUUUUUAAUUUUAUUGCUUAAUUUUCUAAGGGUUAAAUAUGUUUUUAGUCUCUAUACUCUUUGGGACAAUUUUGGUUUUAAUCCAUUUUCAAACUAUGGUAUAAUUUAAUCCUUCAACUUUAGAAAACUCUGAUUUUAGUUUUUUUUACCAAUUUUUUUAACUUUAUUUGUUGUUUCAAGCACGUUUUUAGUUAACAUUGAAGCAAAAAUGUGUCAAAUAGUGUAAACAAUCCAAAUGCUAUAAUGAAAUGUGUAUGAAACAACAAAUAAAGUUAAAAAAAAUUAGUAAAAAAAGACUAAAAUCAAAGUUUUCUAAAAUUGAAAGACUAAAUUGUACCAUAAUUUAAAAAUAAACUAAAACCAAAAUCGCCCCCAAACUAUAUAAAAACAUAUUUAACCCAUUCUUUAAAUACUGUUACGUAAUUUACUGACGAGUUUCAACCACCUAUGUUGAGACAAGAGUGAGGGAAAUGAAAAAAACGUGUUGCGUAAAGAGCAGCAGAAAGACAGAAACAUUUCUGCCACGGUUUAUACCAACCUGUCUUCUUCUCAUUGAUGUAUAGUUAAUUUAGAGAGAGAUGUUAACAUUUUUUUAUUAAUUUCUUAGCUUUUUCCUUCAAUGUUUCAUCUAUCUUCUUGUCCUUCACUUCUUACAAUGACUUAUAUCCUAUCGUUGACUCUCUUUAUCUUAUAUUUCUUCCAAACUAACUUUCUCCAUAUCUAUUAAAGUCUUCCUCCUAUAGGCCAUCAUUUCUAAGUCAUGAAAUUAAUUAAAAUUUUCUUUGAUGUAUUUAAGUUUAUAUCUCUUCAUUUAAUCAAUCACUGUUUUAAAUUCUCUUAGUACAUUAAUUAACUAUUAAUUUAAAUAUAAUUUUUUUUAAAUAAGAUUUAAACUCUUAUUUGGUUUUCGUGUUUGGUCUUCGUAUUUUAGGAUUGUUGAUUUUAAUCAUAAAUUCUUAAAAUUAUUUUAAAAAAUGACGAAAACACGAAUUAGAUAGAUUUAUUAAGACAUGUAGAUUUACCGUUUUUAAAGAUUUAUUCAAUGUGUUGUGUAAGUAUCUUAUGAUACAAUAGAAGGUUCUCAUAUUUUUAAAAAUCUCAUAACUAAUAACAAAAACUCUUUUAAAAAAUAAAUAUACCCAUAAUAUUAUAAAAGAUAUAUGAGAAAGAAAAGAGAAUGAGAAAAUAAAAAAAAAUGUAACGAAAGUGUGUUGUGUGUUUUUGAAAAAAACAAAAGAUAUAUAUUUAUAGAUGGAGAAGAAUGAGGAAUAUUCACAAAUGUUAGAUACUUUAUUUCUCUAAAUACUUUUGCAAUACUCAAACAAUAUUUUUGUAAUUAUUUAAAUUUAAAAAGUAAUUAUUUUAAUUUAAAGGUUUAAAUCUAUUUGUGUCAGUAUCAAGUGGAUAUUUUUUUUCGGAAAUCGAGUCUUAAAACUUGUAAAAAGAGUCAAUUACCCUCUCUAUUAAAAUAAUUACAGUUCUUUUAAAUUAUAAAGUUUUUGAUGCAAAAAUCAUUCCCUUGAGACUUUGGAUAAUAUAGACAUAGUUGAAGACAUUUGAUAUUUACAUCCUAACUUUUUGAAACUACGUACUUAUUCCACUCCUUCACUCUAUAACCAUUAAUGGAGUCAAAGCUUAUUUUUCAUGGGGUACAAAAUUUAGGAAAAAAAAUAUUUUGGUACAAAUAUUUUUAUGACAUUCUGAUAUUUUAUUUGUUAUUUUCUUUUUAUUUAUUAUUUAUUUGUUAUUGUAUUGAUGUAUUUUAAAUCUAAUAAAAAAAUGACCCAUAUAUUAUAUAAAAAUGCAUAUUAUUUCAAAAUAUUGUUAUAAAAAAUAUAUAUUAACAUAUUAUUCUCCUAAAAUUUAGGGACAGCAUUCCAAAUUCAGAGUGAAAAUAUGUUACAAGUCCAAGUAAAAAUCCAAGUUCCCAACAUUCAGAGAUUUUAUUCCAAACUUGAAUACAGAUACAGAAUGAUAGCAACCACACACAACACUUAAGCAUAUAGCAAGAUAAGUUGGCACAUUUAUUCAGUUGUCUUUGAGAGCAAGAUUUGCAAAGAAAUUAAAUAUAAGAAACCCUUUAGAUAGAGAUACUGUUGGGAAUUCCUCUGAAAGUGAGACCUUCAUCUUCACAGCUAGGAACAAGCAAAGUGUAAGGCAUCUGAACCGAUCCAACACGGUUUCUAAGCCUUGAAUCUUUGUUCCUCUCCAUGAUUUUAUCUUCAAUUUCCUUCAGCUUUUCUCCAAACUUUUCAAAAGCUCGAAGAGCCUUUUUGUCAUCAAUCCAAUUUGGAUUGUCCCUCUGUCCAAGGUACACCUCAUCAGAAGCAUGUCUUGACAAUAUCUCUAUCACUGAAAGGUGCAUAAGAGUCUCGUACUUAGGUGUAAAUGUUCUCAAAUAAGCCUUUUCAGGAUUCUUCUCCAUCUCAUCAUAUUCUAAUCCUUCUGCUUUUCCUUUUUCCGGGAUCAAUCUUCUGCUAAGAGUUGGACGGUUGAGGAUAAAUCCACCAUAAGGAUAUUGUCCGAAAUUAACAGCUGCAUGCAGACCUGAAGCAGUCCAUAUGAUAAUACUGCAAAUUUGAUACAGAUCUUGAAGAGUUUUCAACUUAGGCCACCAUGGCUUAUCUUUUAAGUCACCGUGACCCUUCUUAACAACUUCCUUCCACCAGUCUCCGAGUUCAGUGUCGUUAUUAACAUCACUGUCUUUGAAAUAAUACAAGUCGACAUAGUCCUUAACCCAUCUCUCUAUAGCACUCCAAAUCUCUAGUCCAUCAACAGCAUAAGGGUAGUCUUCUAUCACAAGACGAAGUCCAUGUGGGGCAGAUGGAUCCUUAAUCGCCAUUCCUCUGAAUCAUGAAGGAACACAAAG
rnacentral:lncRNA from 1 species